rnacentral:rRNA from 2 species
AGGUGCGAUCAUACCAGCACUAAUGGACCGGAUCCAAUCAGAAAUCUGCAGUUAAGCGUGCUUAGGCGAGCGUAGUACUAGGAUGGGUGACCUCCUCGGAAGUCCUCGUGUUGCACCUC